ensembl:lncRNA
ACAACACAAUGUCAGAGGCAAAGAGAAUUCGCUCCAAAAAUUAUAGUGAGCAUGAAAAAGCACUACUAAAACUAAUUGUAUCGAACCAUCCAGUCAUUGAAAGCAAAAUCCAUACUGCUGCUAUUGAACAUAAGAAAAGAAGUGCUUGGACUGCAAUUGGCAAAGAAUUCAAUGCAAAUGAAGAUGUCACCACAAGAACAGUACAACAACUGCAGGUUCUAUGGAAGAACAUUAAACUGGGAUUAAAAAAAGAGAAUGCAGCAAGCAGAAGAGAGCGAUUUAUUACAGGUGGUGGACCACCAAUAAAGGACACAUGUGAUGAAUUGGGUGACUUGCUGUCUGGUAUAAUAGAGCACCAGCAACCUCUGGAUGGUAUACCAGACAAUGACCAUUUGGACAGUGAACAUGGAGAACUGAGCACAAAUGAGGAAACCAAUCAAGAGCCAGUUCACAACGAGCCUGAACCCUCCACAUCUGCUAUGGCACCCCUGGGAGAUGAAGCUGCUACCAUCCAACAGAGACCAAAAAAGAUAACUAUGC